rnacentral:miRNA from 1 species
CAGUGGAAAAAGCCUGUGGGGCCAGUGUGGGGGAGUGGAGUGGUUUGGCCCCAGCCCCAAGGUGACAGAAGAGAAAGAGGACA